rnacentral:rRNA from 1 species
AUUGAACGCUGGCGGCAGGCCUAACACAUGCAAGUCGAGCGGAUGAAGGGAGCUUGCUCCUGGAUUCAGCGGCGGACGGGUGAGUAAUGCCUAGGAAUCUGCCUGGUAGUGGGGGAUAACGUCCGGAAACGGGCGCUAAUACCGCAUACGUCCUGAGGGAGAAAGUGGGGGAUCUUCGGACCUCACGCUAUCAGACGAGCCUAGGUCGGAUUAGCUAGUUGGUGGGGUAAAGGCCUACCAAGCCGACGAUCCGUAACUGGUCUGAGAGGAUGAUCAGUCACACUGGAACUGAGACACGGUCCAGACUCCUACGGGAGGCAGCAGUGGGGAAUAUCGGACAAUGGGCGAAAGCCUGAUCCAGCCAUGCCGCGUGUGUGAAGAAGGUCUUCGGAUUGUAAAGCACUUUAAGUUGGGAGGAAGGGCAGUAAGUUAAUACCUUGCUGUUUUGACGUUACCAACAGAAUAAGCACCGGCUAACUUCGUG